rnacentral:rRNA from 1 species
UACCUGGCGGCGGCUUACCAUGCNAGUCGAGCGGUAACAUUUCUAGCUUGCUAGAAGAUGACGAGCGGCGGACGGGUGAGUAAUACUUAGGAAUCUACCUAGUAGUGGGGGAUAGCUCGGGGAAACUCGAAUUAAUACCGCAUACGACCUACGGGAGAAAGGGGGCAACUUGUUGCUCUCGCUAUUAGAUGAGCCUAAGUCGGAUUAGCUAGAUGGUGGGGUAAGGGCCUACCAUGGCGACGAUCUGUAGCUGGUCUGAGAGGAUGAUCAGCCACACCGGGACUGAGACACGGCCCGGACUCCUACGGGAGGCAGCAGUGGGGAAUAUUGGACAAUGGGGGAAACCCUGAUCCAGCCAUGCCGCGUGUGUGAAGAAGGCCCUUUGGUUGUAAAGCACUUUAAGCAGUGAAGAAGACUCUUCGGUUAAUACCCGGAGACGAUGACAUUAGCUGCAGAAUAAGCACCGGCUAACUCUGUGCCAGCAGCCGCGGUAAU